rnacentral:rRNA from 2 species
AAAUCGUGUUUCGGCACGAGUUGUAGAGUGUAGGCGGGAGUCUCUGUGGAGCGCGGUGUCCAAGUCCCUUGGAACAGGGUGCCUGAGAGGGUGAGAGCCCCGUAGGGUGCUGCGCGAAGCUUUUGAGGCCCUGCUGACGAGUCGAGUUGUUUGGGAAUGCAGCUCCAAGCGGGUGGUAAAUUCCAUCUAAGGCUAAAUAUUGGCGAGAGACCGAUAGCGAACAAGUACUGUGAAGGAAAGAUGAAAAGCACUUUGAAAAGAGAGUGAAACAGCACGUGAAAUUGUUGAAAGGGAAGGGUAUUGGGCUCGACAUGGGGGGUGCGCACCGCUGUCUCUUGUAGGCGGCGCUCUGGGCGCCCUCUGGGCCAGCAUCGGUUCCUGCUGCGGGAGAAGGGGCUCCGGAAAGUGGCUCUUCGGAGUGUUAUAGCCGGGGCCAGAUGCCGCGUGUGGGGACCGAGGACUGCGGCUUCUGUCUCGGAUGCUGGCAUAACGGCGCAAUACCGCCCGUCUUGAA